GACCUGGUGGUCUAGGGGUGAUGACGUCCCGCUUACACCGGGAAGAUCGGGGGUUCGAUUCCCCCCCGGGUUA